rnacentral:rRNA from 1 species
GACGAACGCUGGCGGCGUGCUUAACACAUGCAAGUCGAACGGAAAGGCCCUUCGGGGUACUCGAGUGGCGAACGGGUAAGUAACACGUGGGUGAUCUGCCCUGCACUUUGGGAUAAGCCUGGGAAACUGGGUCUAAUACCGAAUAGGACCGCGCUCUUCAUGGGGUGUGGUGGAAAGCUUUUGCGGUGUGGGAUGGGCCCGCGGCCUAUCAGCUUGUUGGUGGGGUAAUGGCCUACCAAGGCGACGACGGGUAGCCGGCCUGAGAGGGUGACCGGCCACACUGGGACUGAGAUACGGCCCAGACUCCUACGGGAGGCAGCAGUGGGGAAUAUUGCACAAUGGGCGCAAGCCUGAUGCAGCGACGCCGCGUGAGGGAUGACGGCCUUCGGGUUGUAAACCUCUUUCAGUACCGACGAAGCGCAAGUGACGGUAGGUACAGAAGAAAGACCGGNCAACUACGUGCCAGCAGCCGCGGUAAUACGUAGGGUCCGAGCGUUGUCCGAAUUACUGGGCGUAAAGAACUCGUAGGUGGUUUGUCGCGUUGUUCGUGAAAACUCACAGCUUAACUGUGGGCGUGCGGGCGAUACGGGCAGACUAGAGUACUGCAGGGGAGACUGGAAUUCCUGGUGUAGCGGUGGAAUGCGCAGAUAUCAGGAGGAACACCGGUGGCGAAGGCGGGUCUCUGGGCAGUAACUGACGCUGAGGAGCGAAAGCGUGGGGAGCGAACAGGAUUAGAUACCCUGGUAGUCCACGCCGUAAACGGUGGGUACUAGGUGUGGGUUUCCUUCCUUGGGAUCCGUGCCGUAGCUAACGCAUUAAGUACCCCGCCUGGGGAGUACGGCCGCAAGGCUAAAACUCAAAGGAAUUGACGGGGGCCCGCACAAGCGGCGGAGCAUGUGGAUUAAUUCGAUGCAACGCGAAGAACCUUACCUGGGUUUGACAUGCACAGGACGUGCCUAGAGAUAGGUAUUCCCUUGUGGCCUGUGUGCAGGUGGUGCAUGGCUGUCGUCAGCUCGUGUCGUGAGAUGUUGGGUUAAGUCCCGCAACGAGCGCAACCCUUGUCUCAUGUUGCCAGCACGUUAUGGUGGGGACUCGUGAGAGACUGCCGGGGUCAACUCGGAGGAAGGUGGGGAUGACGUCAAGUCAUCAUGCCCCUUAUGUCCAGGGCUUCACACAUGCUACAAUGGCCGGUACAAAGGGCUGCGAUGCCGUAAGGUGGAGCGAAUCCUUUCAAAGCCGGUCUCAGUUCGGAUCGGGGUCUGCAACUCGACCCCGUGAAGUCGGAGUCGCUAGUAAUCGCAGAUCAGCAACGCUGCGGUGAAUACGUUCCCGGGCCU